GGCUAGUUAGCUCAGUUGGUUAGAGCGUGGCAAUUGUAAUACCAAUGUCAUGGGUUCGAUUCCUGUAUUGGCCA